rnacentral:rRNA from 1 species
GGAGGGUGCAAGCGUAUCCGGAUUCACUGGGUUUAAAGGGUGCGUAGGUGGGUUGGUAAGUCAGUGGUGAAAUCCCCGAGCUUAACUUGGGAACUGCCAUUGAUACUAUCAGUCUUGUAUACCGUGGAGGUCAGCGGAAUAUGUCAUGUAGCGGUGAAAUGCUUAGAUAUGACAUAGAACACCAAUUGCGAAGGCAGCUGGCUACACGAAUAUUGACACUGAGGCACGAAAGCGUGGGGAUCAAACAGGAUUAGAUACCCUGGUAGUCCACGCCCUAAACUAUGGAUACUCGACAUUUGCGAUACACUGCAAGUGUCUGAGCGAAAGCAUUAAGUAUCCCACCUGGGAAGUACGAUCGCAAGAUUGAAACUCAAAGGAAUUGGCGGGGGUCCGCACCCAAGCNGGUGGAGCAUGUGGUUUAAUUCGAUGAUACGCGAGGAACCUUACCUGGGCUAGAAUGCUGGGAGACCGUGAGUGAAAGCUCAUUUUGUAGCAAUACACUGCCAGUAAGGUGCUGCAUGGCUGUCGUCAGCUCGUGCCGUGAGGUGUUGGGUUAAGUCCCGCAACGAGCGCAACCCCCAUCACUAGUUGCCAUCAGGUAACGCUGGGAACUCUAGUGAAACUGCCGUCGUAAGACGUGAGGAAGGAGGGGAUGAUGUCAAGUCAUCAUGGCCUUUAUGCCCAGGGCUACACACGUGCUACAAUGGGGCGUACAAAGGGCUGCAACAUAGUGAUAUGGAGCUAAUCCCAAAAAACGCCUCUCAGUUCAGAUUGGAGUCUGCAACUCGACUCCAUGAAGCUGGAAUCGCUAGUAAUCGUAUAUCAGCAAU